CGGCUGCCCGGCCCCGGCCCGGGGCUCCGCGAACGCUCCGCAGAGUGCGCUCCCCAGCCCGCGCAGGGCGCACCGGAGAGGGGCCCGGGAUGAGCUGUCCAUCCCGGCCCGCUGCCAGGGAGCGCGGCGGCAGGUAGCCUGGUACCACACUGGUGCUUUGAACUGAAGUCCUGAAACUUGAUGUACCCUGGAAGCAAAGCACAGUUUUAUUGUUUCAUGAAUGAUGACAAAGCUAAUCAAGGGGACACUUCCUGAGCAUAAUUGGGGAACUGAUAGCCUGGAUGUGACCAGGGUCAUUAACCCUCUGUUGGUCAUUCAUUCGUAGUAAAUACCUUGUGUCAAGCUCCGGCUUGUUGUUUAUAAGUCUCAAUUGGAAAAUAAAAAGAUAUUGGGUCUUCAA